UACGGAGGGCGCAAGCGUUGUUCGGAAUCAUUGGGCGUAAAGCGCGUGUAGGCGGCUUGGCCAGUCGGGUGUGAAAUCCCGGGGCUCAACCCCGGAACUGCAUUCGAUACUGCCUCGCUAGAGUCCCGGAGAGGAGGGCGGAAUUCCCGGUGUAGAGGUGAAAUUCGUAGAUAUCGGGAGGAACACCAGUGGCGAAGGCGGCCCUCUGGACGGUGACUGACGCUGAGAUGCGAAAGCGUGGGGAGCAAACAGG
rnacentral:rRNA from 1 species